GACGAACGCUGGCGGCGUGCUUAACACAUGCAAGUCGAACGGAAAGGCCCUGCUUGCAGGGUACUCGAGUGGCGAACGGGUGAGUAACACGUGGGUGAUCUGCCCUGCACUUUGGGAUAAGCCUGGGAAACUGGGUCUAAUACCGGAUAGGAGCCAUUUUUAGUGUGAUGGUUGGAAAGUUUUUUCGGUGUAGGAUGAGCUCGCGGCCUAUCAGCUUGUUGGUGGGGUAAUGGCCUACCAAGGCGGCGACGGGUAGCCGGCCUGAGAGGGUGGACGGCCACAUUGGGACUGAGAUACGGCCCAGACUCCUACGGGAGGCAGCGGUGGGGAAUAUUGCACAAUGGGCGCAAGCCUGAUGCAGCGACGCCGCGUGGGGGAUGACGGCCUUCGGGUUGUAAACUCCUUUCGCUAGGGACGAAGCUUUUUGUGACGGUACCUAGAUAAGAAGCACCGGCUAACUACGUG
rnacentral:rRNA from 1 species